rnacentral:rRNA from 1 species
AUUGAACGCUGGCGGCAGGCCUAACACAUGCAAGUCGAGCGAGCGGCGGACGGGUGAGUAAUGUCUGGGAAACUGCCUGAUGGAGGGGGAUAACUACUGGAAACGGUAGCUAAUACCGCAUACCAUCAGAUGUGCCCAGAUGGGAUUGGCUAGUAGGUGGGGUAACGGCUCACCUGGGCGACGAUCCCUAGCUGGGCUGAGAGGAUGACCAGCCACACUGGAACUGAUACACGGCCCAGCGUCCUAGGGGAGGCGGCAGUGGGGAUUAUUGCACAAUGGGCGCAAGCCUGAUGCAGCCAUGCCGCGUGUGGGAAGAAGGCCUUCGGGUUGUAAAGCACUUUCAGCGGGGAGGCGUUACCCGCAGAAGAAGCACCGGCUAACUCCGUGCCAGCAGCCGCGGUAAUAC